UACUUUAUGGAUGGCCCCUAAGUGAGUGGGUGCAGGUUCCGGCAAGGUGGCUGAGGCCUGGGGGAGCGGGCGCGCAUGCGUGCGCCGGCUGACCUUGGUGCACCGGCCCCCGCCCCGCCCGGGAAAACACCGCCACGCGAAACCUCCCGCGCUCCUGCCUGCACCUCUGUACCACACCUGCCGGUUUAGCAGGUUGGUGCGUUGCGACCUAGCAUUGUGCCUAGAUUCUAUUUGUGGAACGCCGAGUCCUGAUUAAAUCAAGUUGCGCUGCGAAAUGAAAUUUUUCGACGCACCAACGCGAUUCAAUUCUUUUGAGACCUACAAUGUGCAGUGCGUAAUAAGGCCGGCGGAGAUGAGGUCCCGGGCCCAGGUGAGGCGAGGUGAGGUGCAGUCGCGCAGGGCACGUGUUGUUGCGGACUUUCACUUCCUACUUGUCGCUGCGGUUAACAAGUUGUCCGAGAAAAUUCUGCCGAGUUAUCUCUAAGCACCGAAAUACUUCGCGAAUCACAAUAAAACGCGUGUAUUAUCAGCCGCUUGUUUACUAUUUAUUAGGUGAUUAACUUUUAUUAUUGCGGCCCGAAUUGUGCGAGUAAUAUUCCAUGGAAUCGCGUGGGUAUAAUGAUUAAUAAUUACAUAAAACUGGCCCCUAGACUGGCGGAUCACGAUGGAAAAAUGUAAUCACAUGGAAGACUUUUUCGGUCAUUUUUUGAGGGCGGGCUGCUGACAAGGACGUCUCUACAUCAAAUAAUAUUCAACUCUAUCACAAAAGUACUAUGGGCUAGAUUGCUUUGGAAAGCUUAUUUUCCUGUGUACUAGACACAUGAAUGGUACCGCUAAUGACAUACUAAACUAGAUAUGUAAUUAAGGAUUUAAUUAAUUAUUUUAUUCUGACAUUCUCGACGCGUUAUUGGUUCAAAAUUACACAAAGGACUGGUAUUAAAAAUCAUCUACAUUUAUUAAAAUCGUAAAAAACAUUUAACAUUCUCUGGCCAUUAAAACGUAUAUGAAUCGACCAGAUAUCAUAUCUAUAUGGUAGAGAUAUCCCAUAUUGCGUGAGACUUUCGAACGAAAGUUCCAAGUAACUCAUCGCAAUGUAAAACCAUAUGAAUUGUCACUGUAGAUUAUUACACAUAAACUGUGUCACUUGCAUCAUACAAAAUGUACAUACAUCAUCAAGAUAAACACCGUAGCAUUUUAUGUCAUUACAAUAAGUGCGAAUUUGCAACAAAUAAAUGUAUAUUUUAAUCUGCUGUCGACUGUACUUUGUUCUGUACAUGUAGCAAGUAUAAGGCAAUAAAUAGUGACUCAUAUACCUAUUUAAAGUCACACUAAAGUGAAAUGUGUUUUAUUUCAAAAUGUCAUUGCUAUUUCUUGCACAGUUGUUUAUGGAUUUAAUAUAAAAUAUGUGUUUCUACAGUAAAUACAACAAAAUAUGCAUUUGAAAUUAUUAAAUACUUUAAACAACAUUAUUAUCAGGGCCUUUAAGAUGCCACAGUGAUUACCUGGAUAUGCUGUGGUCUGUACAAUAACAAAUUCACCUCUAGACAUUGAAUGACACUUACCACAAUUACAGUGAAAAUCCAGUUUUCUUAACACGUUGCACGCCAAGGGAUAACCAAAAAUACUAAAUAACACUUACCACAACUACAGUAAAGUAAGACCCACGUUUUCUUAGCAAUUUGCACGCCAAGGGUAACCAAAAAUAUAUUUUCUGACGUGUUCAGCCUCUCAGUAGUAUCUUAAAAUAUGGUUUUCAUGUAAAUUUUUAUAUGUAUAUGCGGAUUCAGGGUCUGAAAUCAUACAGUCAGAAUGUUGUUUAAAGAUGUUUAUUUUAAUAAUAAUGUAACACUGUCUAGCUGAGAAUUAAGCUGUCAUUGUAUAUUCCAAUCACAGAUUACAUUUUGAUAUGAAUCGUAAUUACAACAUGUGACUUACUUGUUAUGUAAAUUACACUCAAAUUGAUCUCUCAUUUUUGGUUAUUAAUUACUUAUAAAUUGUACAAAAUACAGUUUGAAACCCAGUUUCCUAAUAGGGACCUGACACUAUUAAGAAAUAAUCAAAUAU